UGUCUUCAGGGCAGGGUGAAAUUCCCGAUCGGCGGUGAUGCAGCGAGAGCUGUCAGUCCGCGAGCCGUUUACGGUUGAACCGGUGAGAUUCCGGUACCGACAGUGAAAGUCUGGAUGGAAGAAGAUG
rnacentral:ncRNA from 1 species